GAUGAACGCUCGCGGUAGGCUUAACACAUGCAAGUCGAGGGGCAGCAUGGUCUUAGUUUGCUACGACUGAUGGCGACCGGCGCACGGGUGCGUAACGCGUAUGCAACUUGCCUCACAGAGGGGGAUAACCCGUCUAAAGACGGACUAAUACCGCGUACACUCCAUCUUGGGCAUCCAAGGUAGAGGAAAUGAAAUUCGCUGUGAGAUAAGCAUGCGUUCCAUUGGCUAGUUGGUGAGGUCACGGCUCACCAAGGCGACGAUGGGUAGGGGAACUGAGAGGGUGACCCCCCACACUGGAAACGCGACCCGGACCAGACUGCGACGGGGGGGAGGAGUAAUGUAGAUUAGUCACGGGGCGAGAGCCUAAACCAGCCAAGUCGCGUGAAGGAGGACUGUGUUAUGGAUCGUAAACUUCUUUUAUACAGGAAUAACAAGAGUCACGGGUGAGUUCCUGCAUGUACCGUAUGAAUAAGCAUCGGCUAACUACGUG
rnacentral:rRNA from 1 species